AUGCGGCCGGCCCCGGCGGGUCACCCCACGGGUCGCCAAGUGCUGAAGCAGGUGCACCCUGACAUCGGCAUCUCCUCUAAGGCCAUGUCCAUCAUGAACUCCUUCAUCAACGACAUCUUCGAGAAGCUCGCCGACGAGGCCGCCAAGCUCGCCCGCUACAACAAGAAGCCCACCAUCACCUCCCGGGAGAUCCAGACCUCCGUAUGCCUCGUCCUCCCCGGCGAGCUCGCCAAGCACGCCGUCUCCGAGGUCACCAAGGCCGUCACCAAGUUCACCUCCUCUUAG
rnacentral:rRNA from 1 species